rfam:Schistosoma margrebowiei strain Zambia genome assembly, scaffold: SMRZ_contig0001663
AUCCAGAUGAAAAGUCCCAAAUAGGACGAAACUCUCCUCCUGGAU